rnacentral:misc_RNA from 1 species
UAAUCAAGUGUUUUUAUGGCACUUUAAAUCCAUAUCCACCUUGUGUGCAAUGUCAUCUCACUGGGGUUACGUUUGUAAAAUUUCGUGAUCCGUUUGGGAUUUAUAUCUACUCAGAACUUUAGUCAUUUUGUCUGAAACAUAUUAUGAAUAACUUAAUUCAAAAUA